AGUUUGAUCGUGGCACAGGAUGAACGCUAGCUACAGGCUUAACACAUGCAAGUCGAGGGGAAACGACAUCGAAAGCUUGCUUUUGAUGGGCGUCGACCGGCGCACGGGUGAGUAACGCGUAUCCAACCUGCCCACCACUUGGGGAUAACCUUGCGAAAGUAAGACUAAUACCCAAUGACGUCUCUAGAAGACAUCUGAAGGAGAUUAAAGAUUUAUCGGUGAUGGAUGGGGAUGCGUCUGAUUAGCUUGUUGGCGGGGUAACGGCCCACCAAGGCUACGAUCAGUAGGGGUUCUGAGAGGAAGGUCCCCCACAUUGGAACUGAGACACGGUCCAAACUCCUACGGGAGGCAGCAGUGAGGAAUAUUGGUCAAUGGGCGAGAGCCUGAACCAGCCAAGUAGCGUGCAGGAUGACGGCCCUGUGGGUUGUAAACUGCUUUUAUAAGGGAAUAAAGUGAGCCUCGUGAGGCUUUUUGCAUGUACCUUAUGAAUAAGGACCGGCUAAUUCCGUGCCAGCAGCCGCGGUAAUACGGAAGGUCCGGGCGUUAUCCGGAUUUAUUGGGUUUAAAGGGAGCGUAGGCCGGAGAUUAAGCGUGUUGUGAAAUGUAGACGCUCAACGUCUGCACUGCAGCGCGAACUGGUUUCCUUGAGUACGCACAAAGUGGGCGGAAUUCGUGGUGUAGCGGUGAAAUGCUUAGAUAUCACGAAGAACUCCGAUUGCGAAGGCAGCUCACUGGAGCGCAACUGACGCUGAAGCUCGAAAGUGCGGGUAUCGAACAGGAUUAGAUACCCUGGUAGUCCGCACGGUAAACGAUGGAUGCCCGCUGUUGGUCUGAAUAGGUCAGCGGCCAAGCGAAAGCAUUAAGCAUCCCACCUGGGGACUUCGCCGGCAACGGUGAAACUCAAAGGAAUUGACGGAAGGGCGU
rnacentral:rRNA from 1 species